CCUCAAUUAUCAACCCUUAAAAGACAUCAGAAAAUUCAUGAAGACAAGGGACAUACUGGGGAGAAGCUUUACAAAUGUAAUGACUGUGACAGAUCCUAUAUCUACCAUUCGUCAUUUAGAAGGCAUCAGAAAAUUCAUUCUCCAUAGAAAUUAUACAAAUGCAUGGAAUGUGGUAAGUCCUAUAUUAAACUGUCACAACUUAAAAUACAUUAUAAAGUCCAGACUGGAAAGAAACCAUACAAAUGCAUGGACUUUGACAAAUCAUUAAUCAUUCACAUUUUAAAAGACAUCAGAGUAUUCAUUCUGAAAAGAGAGGACUUUACAGAUGCAAGGCAUGUGAUAAAUCUUUUUAUAAUCUCUUGGAGAACAUCAUAAAAUUCAAACUGGGAAGAAAAAUACCAAUUGAAAUAAUGUGACAGAGCAUUUAUCUUAUAUUCUCUGCUUACAAAUCAUAUUAUACAUAAUGUAAACAUAAUGAUGUUUGUGAAAUCCUUAAAAUAGUUUAUAUCAUAAAAGAGUAUCAUAGAGUUUAUAUUUAAAUAAAAUUCUGCAAAUGUGUCUG
rnacentral:lncRNA from 1 species